GUCGGGACCUCGGAGCUCAGCUGUGUUGGCAGGAACAAUGGCGCUGUCUUUCUGUGAUGAAUCAGAGCAGUUACGCGAGGAUGCCACGAUGCGUGAGAAAACCUCAAAACAUCUGAGAUAUUUAAUGGGGAAUAACUUGAUUAAAACCUGACAGUCUUAACAGCUUCCUGGACGUUGAUGAGUAAUGAAGUUAUAGGUGUCACUGAGCCACUUAAUAUUGGAUGAGAAUUGUUGUCCUAAGAGGCCAGUUAGCUGUAAAAUUCCUAGGAUGGACCAACUUCUGGCCAGUUUUCUGUGGCAUGAAAAGUUGGUGAUAAGAUAAACCACCAAGACAAAGAAAACAUGAUUAAUUUUUUUUUUAAUUGAAAAGUGCAGCAUGAGAGCAUGGGAUAUUUUUAAUGAAAAGUUCAUGGACUUCAGCUUAUAAAGCCUUGUCAAAUUGUCCUGAAUAAAGGUUCAAUAUGACUUGUAAUUAAAACUGAAAGUUUAUACUGAUUGUGGAAGAGUUUUUGGUAACAUUUUUGUGGAUCCCAUGGCAUACACUGAGAAAUGGGGUACUGAAAAUGAGACAUCACAGUCAGGAAUGAGGGUGAUUAGAGAAGGUAAGUGCCUGAGGAAAUUGUGAGUUUGGAUUAGUCUUGUGAACCAGAAUAGCAUCUUAGGUAACUUAGAUGGUUGGGUCCCAUUCAUAUGUGGUCAUUUUCUAGUUGCCAGGCCCAAAGUUACCUGUCACUGUUAAAAUAGUUGACUUUUGUUUGCCAUUUUUUGUGUGCACGUUGCUCUAGAAUAUAGUUUGGUUUGGGGCCCACAGAAACUAACGCAAAUAGUUGAGAUGAUUUUGUAGAAAUCAGCUCUUCAAAGGUUUAUUGCAGCCAUGUGAAACUGGAGGGAUUUACUUUCUACCUAUUCAGUCUUCCCUCUUCCUACACUCAAUCCUACUCUACAAAACUAACAAUUCUGUAAGGAAAACUUUUGUGCCUGUCUGUACUUUGGAUAUAGUAGUGCUGCAAAAAAAAUAGGCAGGGACUGUCUGCCUUAAAUGUUUUAGCUCAUUUGGUAACAUUUAUGGUUACAUAAAUUAUUGGGUU